UCAGCGUCCCGAAGGCCUCG
rnacentral:misc_RNA from 1 species